UCAACGCCGGAAAACUCACCGGAGGCGACCUGUGUAUGAGAGUCAACCUGAUGAAUUUACUCGAUAGCAGGAGAGGUGGUGCAUGGCCGUCGUCAGCUCGUACCGUAGGGCGUUCACUUAAGUGUGAUAACGAGCGAGACCCCCAUCUUCAAUUGCUAAGCUAACCGUGAGGUUGGUAGAACUUUGAAGGGACCGCCAGUGCAGAACUGGAGGAAGGAGGGGUCGACGGCAGGUCAGUACGCCCCGAAUCUUCCGGGCAACACGCGCGCUACAAAGGACAGGACAAUGGGCUGCGACCUCGAAAGGGGAAGCCAAUCCCGAAACCUGUUCGUAGUUAGGAUUGAGGGCUGUAACUCGCCCUCAUGAAUCUGGAUUCCGUAGUAAUCGCGGGUCAACAUCCCGCGGUGAAUAUGCCCCUGCUCCUUGCACACACCGCCUGUCAAACCAUCCGAGCUGGUGUUGGAUGAGGGUUAGUUCGAAAGGGUUGAUUCGAAUCUGAUGUCAGUGAGGAGGGUUAAGUCAUAACAAGGUAUCCGUAGGGGAACCUGCGGAUG
rnacentral:rRNA from 1 species